rnacentral:lncRNA from 1 species
UUUACUAUUGGUUGAAUAAUCUAAUUUUUAAGCUGAUAAGAGCAUAUCGUAAGUCCCAACCUCAGCCAUGGAUAUUUUUUCGGAUGUGGACUGACAGAAUCUUCCUUGUCUACGUGCUUACCAGCACCAACUGGAUGCAGCCUUUUGUCAAACUACAAUGUUGAGGUCCACUGCAAAUCUUGACUCCGCAAGAAAACAUGCUAAUGCUGUCUCUAUGAUGCGUCUGCUGAGAAGUGAACAUGUGCUCAGUAAGGGUGAGAGCCAUGUGGGACUCUUGAGGGCAAGAUAUUUUGUGACAGAGAUUAUACCAGAAAGUUUGGUGCUUCUUCCCAAGGACUGUGCCGGCAGUAGCUGACAAUUUAUGGCCCCAGAGUGAUCCUAUCUAAUUCGGAGUAGAGAAUGUAAGAAAAUACUAAGGGCGGACAGGUAACUAAGAAUCCUCUUGUGAAGGAAAAAAUGAAACCUCCCAGAAAAAAAUUCAAGUUUUGUUAUGGACCAGGUACCUAGUAAAGACCUGAUUAGUGUGGUUUAUAUAAAUGCUACGGUAAUUGGUCUGGCCCUAAAAUAUGUGCCUUGAUCCAUGUCUGAUGAAAACUUCAAGGGGAGGAGAAAACUGAUAUGGGUUCUGUUAUUCUGAAUUAGUAUGGAUGAAGAUACUGAAUACAACUGUUGAAUGCAAAUCUCCUACCUCAAACUGUAAACAGUACCAAAAGACAUACAAUAGUAGGCUCUUAGUGAGCAUCUAUUUAUCCUACAGAGCCAGAGAACUUAGGGGUCAAUGGUAGGCUCUUAGUGUGCAUCUAUUUACCCUACAGAGCCAAAGAACUUAGGGUACAAUCUAAAGUUGACAGAUCACUGCCUCCCAUAUUUCCCCAAUGUACAGGGAAGAAAUACUUCUUGAUGCAAAUUUCCUAUCCAAAUCCAUUCACAUCAAGAAAACAACUUCAAGUUUUGGGAAAGACUUCUUUAUGAAAAUGUCCUGUUACAUGACCUACAAAAAUCUAGGAACACCUCAUCCAUUGGCCAGUAGUCAGUAUAUGCACACAAAAAAUCUAUACCUAAAUCACAAGAGGGGUUUCACAUGAGAUUAGACUGGGAGGUGGAAGGCGGAAGGCAACCAACUGUUCUUUGCUUUAGAAUAUCCUCUCUCAUUACACAGCAGAGAUGAAAGAUAAAAACUCCAUUAAAACCAAAUUUAAGUUCAUUAAAGAAAAACCUGGAAAACCUAUUUAAAAUAAUGGAUGAAAAGAUGGUAUGCAAUCUAAACCACCAAAAGGAAUCACUAUUAACAUCUUAAUAUGAUAUACAAAGAAUAUUCUUUUUUCCGUAAUGUGUUUUCUUUUUCAGAGUGAUAAUAUAAUCUAUAGAAUUCUAGCCUAAACAAUAGAGAAAGCUUAAGUUAGUAAACUAAAUACGAUUAGUUCAGUGGAUUACUAUGUAAUUCAAAACAUGAUUAUGAAAAAUUUAUGACUAUGAGGAAUAUUUACAAUAUUAAAUGGUAAUAAAAAGUUAAAAAUUUAUACUGGAUAGGCUCUCAAUUAUUUGUGUACGUUUCUAAAGUCACAAACCCAGCAGUCUUUAGGUACAGAAACAAAGGCAAAUACUAAAUAAUCUUUUAUUUGUUUGUUUUUGAGACGGAGUCUCACUACGUUGCCCAGGCUGGUCUUGAACUCCUUGGCUCAAUCCAUGCUCCUGCCUCAGCCACCCACGUAGCUGAGGUCAGAUACCAUUUUGAAACCAAAACAAUGCCAAAAAUAAGAAUACCGAUUGAAGAGAACAUGGAUCAAUUAAAAACUGUUAGAUGUUCCUGCUGAAACUGGAAAUGACACAGCUACUGAGAAACAAGCUGGCUUUAUCCACAAAGAUGUAUAUAUAACCUGUGUUUUUACAAGCACUUUUUACACUAGUAAUAACCUGAAAAUAAAUCCAUAUCCAUCAAAAGUAAAAUAAAUUGUAGUAUAUUCAUAAAAUAGAAAACUCUAAAGCAGUGAAAUUUAUCAAUGUGAGGAAUGUAAUACUGAGUAAAGAGUGCAAGUUAAAUAUACAGUAUGAGUCCAUUUAUAUAAAGUCCAAAAUAUGCAAAACAAUUGAUUAGCAAUCGAAAUAUAUGGUAGAACUUUAAUAAGAAAGGGUAAAUAUACUCAGGAUUAUAGUUACUUCUGAGGGGAGAGAUGAUAGGAUCAAGAAAAGUCACAUAUUUGGAAUUUAAAGAUGAUGUUAAUGCUCUUUUUUUUUUUUUUGAAAUGGAGUUAUUGCUGUCGCCCAGGCUGGAGUGCAGUGGCGUAAUCUAGGCUCACUGCAACUUCCGCCUCCCAGGCUCAAGUGAUUCUCCUGUCUCAGCCUCCUGAGUAGCUGGGACUGCAGGCAUGUGUCAUCAUGCCUGGUUAAUUUUUUUGUAUUUUCAGUAGAGAUGGGAUUUCACCGUUCAGUCCUUUUGGUAAGACUACAGGUGGUGGUGUGUUAUUUUAUCAGAAAGCAUAUAAUACCUGUCUCUCUUUUUGUAAAGUUAGCAGCUCUUGAUAUUCAAUGCCUAAACUAAUUCAUUCACUGGGAUUUGCAAAAAUUGUGACAAACUAAUUCUAUAUUUAUUUUUCAUUAAUGCAAUGGAAUACAUGUAUAAAGAGAUACUUCACCUACUAUUUGGUUAUCUGUUGGUAUGGUUCACACAGGUGAAACAGGAAAAAUGCCCUUAUUUACUAGUUUUCAAGACAGAUUUGAAAAAUUGGCUCCCU